GUGUCAGCAGCCGCGGUAAGACAGAGGCCCCGAGCGUUAGGCGGAAUCACUGGGCUUAAAGCGUGUGUAGGCGGACCCCUAAGUGUCUUGUGAAAUCCCACGGCUCACCCGUGGAACUGCUGGGCAUACUGGGGGUCUUGGGCCGUCCAGGGGCAGCCGGAACAAGCGGUGGAGCGGUGAAAUGCGUAGAUAUCGCUUGGAACGCCGAAGGCGAAAGCAGGCUGCUGGGGACGCGCCGACGCUGAGACACGAAAGCCAGGGGAGCAAACGGGAUUAGAUACCCCUGUAGUCC
rnacentral:rRNA from 1 species